CCUACGGGAGGCAGCAGUGAGGAAUAUUGGUCAAUGGGCGGAAGCCUGAACCAGCCAAGUAGCGUGCAGGAUGACGGCCCUACGGGUUGUAAACUGCUUUUAUCCGGGAAUAACGCGCCUUACGUGUAGGUCUUUGCAUGUACCGUAUGAAUAAGGACCGGCUAAUUCCGUGCCAGCAGCCGCGGUAAUACGGAAGGUCCGGGCGUUAUCCGGAUUUAUUGGGUUUAAAGGGUGCGUAGGCCGCAUGUCAAGCGUGCUGUGAAAUGUCCGGGCUCAACCCGGGCCUUGCAGCGCGAACUGGCGGGCUUGAGUCCGAGGAAAGCAGGAGGAAUUCGUCGUGUAGCGGUGAAAUGCUUAGAUAUGACGCAGAACCCCGAUUGCGAAGGCAGCUUGCUGCAGCGGAACUGACGCUGAGGCUCGAAAGCGCGGGUAUCGAACAGGAUUAGAUACCCCAGUAGUC
rnacentral:rRNA from 1 species